GAAAGAACGAGAAUGGCUAAAGAAUAUCUAUAGCUGGAGAGAACAAAACACCUUGCUAACAUUUAUUGCACAACAAAGUAUUCCUGAAUCAUAGUAGGGGAACACAGGUUCCAUAACUGUAGAGAUAAACAAGUCUUAAAUGGAUUUCCAGAUCUCCUCCAUCAUAAAGAAAGAACGCCUUGAUCCAUAGGUAAGGAUGAAAAAUCUUUAUUUCAAAGUGGGCAUACAGUUAGGACACAUGCGGGAGAGUGAAGAUCACCACUGAUGUGUUUCAUGCCUCACUGGCACUUCAUCAGCGAUGUCUGAAAGUUUGUGCCUCUAACAAAUAACUAUAAUAACAAACAAUCGAUACAUCUAAUUUCAGGGAACAUUAUGUUGCCUGAGGAGUUGGAGAGAUGUCCAUGUUUAUUUGGUGGAGUAGAAGUCUCGGAGAAGAUAUCACUGGUUCUAUGCCUCAGAGCUAGUAUAGGCAUGAUGGCUCCAUGAGUUCUGUGCAAUUCGAGUAUAUUUUUGAAUAAUAAUGAUUGUAGAAGGGCCCAAAAAGUUUUGCACCAAAAGAAAACAGAUUUCUGGAACUCUUCUUACUAGGAGAUUGUUGUGUCAAAACUGGUUAUCUUGGUCCUCAACUGUCAUUUGCAGACUGCUAACCCUAGACGUGAGGUUCGAGACUGUUCAAGGAUCAGUAGGCUUCACACACCUAUUUUUAUUUUCUUCAAAUGUAUCAGUGCAGUUUCCCAAGACCGCAAUUCCAGACAGGAGUGCCAGGAGACAGUUUAGCUAGUCUGUUCUUGAGAUUGCAUUGGAUGUAUUAUUUUCAGGAACACAAUGUUUGUAAGAUCCAUAAAGUCUUUCUGUUUACAAAGGUAGUAAUCUUUUAGCAUUGUAAAGACAUAUGAUAACUAUAGGAGUCCAGUGGCCUGUUAGGAGUACAGCAUUAAAGAGAUGCAGUCACCCUGCCUCUGAUCCUAUAUGGAGGUAAGUUCUACCAUGCUAAUGCUGUGUGAUCAAUAGUUUAAAUCAUAACAAAACAGUAAGGCCUUGAAUGUAAUGUUAUAUUUAAAAGUAUAGCUCCCUACUUAAUGAAGGUAGAAAAGAUAUUGGAGUGAGCACUAAAAGACCUACCUGGAAAGCAGUAUCU